UACGAGUGGUGCAAGCGUUGUUCGGAAUCACUGGGCAUAAAGCGCGCGCAGGCUGCGAUGCAAGUCGACUGUGAAAUCCCCCGGCUCAACCGGGGAAUAGCAGCCGAAACUACAUUGCUGGAGUGUGGGAGGGGGGAACGGAAUUCCUGGUGGAGCGGUGAAAUGCGUAGAUAUCAGGAGGAACGCCGGAGGCGAAAGCGGUUCUCUGGUCCACUACUGACGCUGAGGCGCGAAAGCUAGGGGAGCAAACAGG
rnacentral:rRNA from 1 species